rnacentral:rRNA from 1 species
GACGAAGGGGGCUAGCGUUGUUCGGAAUUACUGGGCGUAAAGCGCACGUAGGCGGAUUGUUAAGUCGGGGGUGAAAUCCUGGAGCUCAACUCCAGAACUGCCUUCGAAACUGGCGAUCUUGAGUCCGGGAGAGGUGAGUGGAACUGCGAGUGUAGAGGUGAAAUUCGUAGAUAUUCGGAGGAACACCAGUGGCGAAGGCGGCUCACUGGUCCGGUACUGACGCUGAGGUGCGAAAGCGUGGGGAGCAAACAGG